CACACAGCUACACCCCGACCCGGAGCUUUAUCUGGGCUAUGACCGACCCCCACCAAAGAAAAGAAGAAAGCUCACCCGGACUACUUUGAGUGUGACAGCUUCCAGUGAUACGAACAACACAGAAUCUGUACCCGACUCCACAGUGUUACGUUCAGUGGAAUUAGACCAGGCCAGCAUCUCCACACAACCCCCUGAGCCACAUCUGCACUCAGUCCACACACAGUGGGAGGAUCCUUCGCAACAAGACCAUCAAUACUGCAACAGGUCUCGCAGAAAAGAUGUGCAGGAUAAGAUGACUCAGUGUGAUGAAGUUGCAUAUUUCAUUCUUCAAAAUGAUGCAGACACUUUGCUGUACACUGGGAUAGCCUUAGAAACAUUUAACACACUUGUGUCGACACUGGAAGGAUAUGACAACAAUGAAUUUACAGUGCCUGUCCAAGAUCAAGUCCUCAUGACACUUAUGAAAUUAAAGAGUAACCGUGUAAUAGGUGACCUAAGCCACCAGUUUCAUAUAUCACAAAGCAUGGCCAGCAAGAUCAUCUCACACUGGUUAGACAAGCUGGAGGAAGUUCUCCGACCAUUAAUUCCAUGGCUGCCAAAAGAAACUAUUCAAGCAACUAUGCCUGAAGCCUUCAAGAAGAACUUUCCAAAUGCUACAUGCAUUAUAGACUGCAGUGAGACCCUUUUACAGAAACCCAGAAAUCUGGGCUCAAGAGGGGAAUCAUACAGCCAUUAUUAUUCACACAA